rnacentral:rRNA from 1 species
AACUAACGCUGGCGGCGUGCCUAACACAUGCAAGUCGUACGAGAAAGUUGGCUUCGGCCGAUGAGUACAGUGGCGCACGGGUGAGUAACGCGUGGAUAAUCUGCCCUUAAGUGUGGAAUAACGUACCGAAAGGUGCGCUAAUACCGCAUAAUGCCUGGCAACAUAAAGUUGUCCGGCCAAAGAAGGCCUCUGCUUGCAAGCUUUCGCUAAAGGAUGAGUCCGCGUACCAUUAGCUAGUUGGUGGGGUAACGGCCUACCAAGGCGACGAUGGUUAGCUGGUCUGAGAGGAUGAUCAGCCACACUGGAACUGAGACACGGUCCAGACUCCUACGGGAGCAGCAGUGAGGAUAUUGCGCAAUGGGGGCAACCCUGACGCAGCAACGCCGCGUGAGUGAGGAAGGUUUUCGGACUGUAAAGCUCUGUCGAGCGGGGAAGAAGUGACCAUGGCUAAUAUCCAUGAUACUUGACGGUACCGCUAAAGGAAGACC